AUAUUUUUUUCAGCCUUUUGGCUAAGAUAAGGUGUGAUAUUUGUUCUUAUCAGUUAAUAUCUUAUAUAUAGACCACAUGUUUACUCUGGCAUUAUUAUUUUAAUUUUAUAGGUAUCAAAUAUGAUUGUGUGUCGUCGCAACGUAC
rnacentral:snRNA from 1 species